rnacentral:rRNA from 1 species
GGAUUAGAUACCCUGGUAGUCCACGCCGUAAACGAUGUCUACUAGCCGUUGGGGUCCUUGAGGCCUUAGUGGCGCAGCUAACGCACUAAGUAGACCGCCUGGGGAGUACGGUCGCAAGAUUAAAACUCAAAUGAAUUGACGGGGGCCCGCACAAGCGGUGGAGCAUGUGGUUUAAUUCGAAGCAACGCGAAGAACCUUACCAGGUCUUGACAUCCCCGGAACUGGCUAGAAAUAGCCGGGUGCCUUCGGGAAUCGGGUGACAGGUGCUGCAUGGCUGUCGUCAGCUCGUGCCG